rnacentral:rRNA from 1 species
CCAGGAGGAAGGUGAGGACGACGUCAAGUCAUCAUGGCCCUUAUGUCCAGGGCUACACACGUGCUACAAUGGGGUAUACAAAGAGCAGCGAUACGGUGACGUGGAGCAAAUCUCAAAAAUAUCUCCCAGUUCGGAUAGUAGUCUGCAACUCGACUACUUGAAGUUGGAAUCGCUAGUAAUCGUAGAUCAGCAAUGCUACGGUGAAUACGUUCCCGGGUCUUGUACUCACCGCCCGUCACACCAUGGGAGUUGAACUCAUUCGAAGCGGGGAUGCUAAAGUAGCUACCCUCCACAGUGGAUUUAGCGACUGGGGUGAAGUCGUAACAAGGUAACCUUAAA